UACGGAGGGUGCAAGCGUUGUCCGGAAUCACUGGGCGUAAAGGGCGCGUAGGCGGCUCAUGAAGGCUGUGGUGAAAGUCCGGGGCUCAACCUCGGAUCGGCCGUGGCGACUCGUGGGCUGGAGCACUGUAGAGGCGGGUGGAAUUCCGGGGUGUAGCGGUGGAAUGCGUAGAGAUCGGGAGGAACACCUGUGGCGAAGGCGGCCGACUGGGCCGACCCUGACGCUGAGGCGCGAAGGCGGUGGGGAGCGAACGGGG
rnacentral:rRNA from 1 species